UCAAGGUGAAGUCUGAAGAGGUGUGUUUUUAGUUUGAGCUGGAGGAUGUGUGGACUUUGUGUCCUGAUGUCGAGCUAAUCUAAUCUAAUGUUGGCAGUGAGGGAGAGUCGACUGUCGAGUGACACCAAGGUUCCUAGAGGUCAUGUUGAUCAUUCUGUCUUUUACACACAAAUGAAAGUUAAGUGUCUCUGAAAGUGAAAGUGAAAGUUCGUCGCGUCGCCUCGUGAGCUCCAUAUAACGCCGCUCCGCAGUCAGACGUCACUCAGCUGCAGAGUCAGAGGAGACGAGAGGAGAAUGAAGCUGAAAAGCUUCACAGACUCAGAACGACACGACCAUAAAAACAGAAGUCACGUUUCAUACGAGGCUCCGAUGGAAAAAGAAAAAGAUAUCAUGAACCAGACUGGAGGAGACCCUGACGAUCUGAACCCUCUCACCUCUCUGGAGACUUGGAGUGGCUGCGAUGUCGGUGGCUCCUGUGGUGACCUGGUUCACAACCAAGAGAACAACCAUGGUCACAUAUCAUCAAGUGACUCAGCGUCUUUAUGACAAGAUGGUUUCCUCUGUGUUAAAGUCCAUGACCCAACAUCAUUGAAUCCACAUUACAUCACACAUCAAUGACAGGUCCCUACAGACGGGCAGUGGGGAUCAUACCUGUUUUCUGACCCGGGGAUUUGGAGCGGUGGCGCCGGUCCCGGGACCGGCUGCGGUGUCUGCGG